rnacentral:rRNA from 1 species
GACGAACGCUGGCGGCGUGCUUAACACAUGCAAGUCGAACGGUAAGGCCCUUCGGGUACGACGAGUGGCGAACGGGUGAGUAACACGUGGUGAUCUGCCCUGCACUUCGGGAUAAGCCUGGGAAACUGGGUCUAAUACCGGAUAGGACCAUGGACUUCACGGUUUGUGGUGGAAAGCUUUUGCGGUGUGGGAUGGGCCCGCGGCCUAUCAGCUUGUUGGUGGGGUAAUGGCCUACCCAAAGGCGACGACGGGUAGGCCGGCCUGAGAGGGUGUCCGGCCACACUGGGACUGAGAUACGGCCCAGACUCCUACGGGAGGCAGCAGUGGGGGAAUAUUGCACAAUGGGCGCAAGCCUGAUGCAGCGACGCCGCGUGAGGGAUGACGGGCCUUCGG